CUGGCUCAGGAUGAACGCUGGCGGUAUGCUUAACACAUGCAAGUCGAACGAAAUCUUCGGAUUUAGUGGCGGACGGGUGAGUAACGCGUGAGAAUCUGCCAUCAGGUCUGGGACAACCACUGGAAACGGUGGCUAAUACUGGAUGUGCCGAAAGGUGAAAGGUUAACUGCCUGUUGAUGAGCUCGCGUCUGAUUAGCUAGUAGGUGUGGUAAAGGCGCACCUAGGCGACGAUCAGUAGCUGGUCUGAGAGGACGAUCAGCCACACUGGGACUGAGACACGGCCCAGACUCCUACGGGAGGCAGCAGUGGGGAAUUUUCCGCAAUGGGCGAAAGCCUGACGGAGCAAUACCGCGUGAGGGAGGAAGGCUCUUGGGUCGUAAACCUCUUUUCUCAGGGAAGAACAAAAUGACGGUACCUGAGGAAUAAGCAUCGGCUAACUCCGUGCCAGCAGCCGCGGUAAUACGGAGGAUGCAAGCGUUAUCCGGAAUGAUUGGGCGUAAAGCGUCCGCAGGUGGCGAUGUAAGUCUGCUGUUAAAGAGUCUAGCUCAACUAGAUAAGAGCAGUGGAAACUACAUAGCUAGAGUACGUUCGGGGCAGAGGGAAUUCCUGGUGUAGCGGUGAAAUGCGUAGAGAUCAGGAAGAACACCAGUGGCGAAGGCGCUCUGCUAGGCCGUAACUGACACUGAGGGACGAAAGCUAGGGGAGCGAAUGGGAUUAGAUACCCCAGUAGUCCUAGCCGUAAACGA
rnacentral:rRNA from 2 species